rnacentral:rRNA from 1 species
CCUACGGGAGGCAGCAGUGAGGAAUAUUGGUCAAUGGGCGGAAGCCUGAACCAGCCAAGUAGCGUGCGGGAUGAAGGCCCUACGGGUCGUAAACCGCUUUUGCACGGGGACAACACCCUCCACUUGUGGAGGUCUGCAGGUACCGUGCGAAUAAGGGCCGGCUAAUUCCGUGCCAGCAGCCGCGGUAAUACGGAAGGCCCGAGCGUUAUCCGGAUUCAUUGGGCUUAAAGGGGGCGUAGUCGGGCGUUCAAGUCAGCUGUAAAAGCGCGCGGCUCAACCGCGCCCCGCAGUUGAAACUGGGCGCCUUGAGUUCACAACAGGCAGGCGGAAUUCGUGGUGUAGCGGUGAAAUGCAUAGAUAUCACGAGGAACCCCGAUUGCGAAGGCAGCCUGCCGGGGUGCGACUGACGCUGAGGCUCGAAGGUGCGGGUAUCAAACAGGAUUAGAUACCCGGGUAGUC